rnacentral:lncRNA from 1 species
GAUAGAUAGAUAGAUAGAUUUUUUUUAAUAUCGUCUUUAACUCUGAAGGGUAAUUUCCGGAUGUGGUUGCUUCCGGACCAGAAUCCGUUUGAGAGGAUGUCGGCUGUUGAUGAACAGUUAUUUCUGCUUCUUUAGUUUUUUUUAUUACGUUGUCGGUGGAGGAAACACACUUGGGGUUUUUUAUGUGUUUGUAUCGAUCUCUGUUUGUUCUUCCGGUUCCUGUUCCGUCCCGUGCUGGUUUUUGAGAGAGCCGAGGAGAAAUGGAAACAACUUCACCACCACCACCACCUCCUCCAACCCUCGUGAUGCAGCAAAGUAGGAAAAGUACUCGGCCGUGCCCUAAACAUGCUGCACUGCCAUUUAGAGACCCUCCUGUCCAAGAGACAAGGCCCCCACCAGAGACUCAGCAGGAUGCACCAGCUAUACUGCCACCCCCAGUGCAAAAUGGAUCUGUGUUUCCAGCGUCAGAAAGGCCAGAUGACAGUCCAUACGAUAGUGGGGAGAAAUCCGGUCCAGUGCAGGAAACUGAACCUGCACCACAGACAUCUCCUGGUCCACAGAUAACAGAGACGCGAGUUGAAGCAGCGGUUCAGAUGGACCUGGCUGCAGAGGACUGAUCGCCCUGAAGCACUUUAGUUACUAGUUUGUUUAGUUAUCAAUUAGCGGUGCUUGAAAAUGAUGUUUUGAAUUGUACUGAGUAGGGCUGGGCGAUAUGGACUAAUAGUCAUAUCCCGAUAUAUUUAGGCUGAAUAUCGAUAUACGAUAUAUAUCCCGAUAUAUUUAUGCAAAGUGAGAGCAAAUGUUCAGUCAAAGUCAAAGCCAAAUAUGACAUGUGGGUGGGAAUUUCGUCAUUUUAGGGGCAAGUCCAUUUGGCCUUCACUUUUUUUUUUUCAGGGGCACCAAGGCCACAUGACAGGGCACAAAGGCCACUGAGUAAAAUUUGUUGAUUUACCUUUCAGACUGUACCAUAACAUCCUAAUUUAUAAUAAGAAAUGGAUUAUGUAUUAAAACAUUAUUUAAAUACCAAAAUCAAUAAUGUUACAUUACAAAAGUUUUUUUUUAAGUAGGGUUAGGGUGAGGUGAGUUUUGUGACACUACACUGAAUAUUAGUGUUACUGAAUAUUUCUCCCAAAUAGAAAUUCCCCCAAAUUAUGGCAAAGCACAUUUUUUCCAAACAAAAAAAUUGUAGAAUAACCAGCAGGAGACCACUGAUGUGUGGAGUGAUUUUGGUGACACUAGACUCUGAAUAAUAGUGAAGUUAUUGAAUAUUUUUUGUAGUUUCUCUUUUCAGUGUUGCACUUUGUAGACGGUCCCUGCGCCCUCGUCUCACAGACGGCUGACCAUACAGACCAGAGUUAAUGUCCAGACGCUCGUUUGGAUGAAAAUACGGUUGUAGCUCGUUGUCUUCCUUACUACCGUAGGAAAGAGCCGUCAGAUGUGUUUUAACAAGGUUUCACUUAUGAGUUAUUGAUCCGGGAAGUUAAAAUCUGUGAAUAUAUUUCCAACUUUACCGGACUAAAUCCUACCACAUAAGUCAGUCACGUAUCAUGUCAAAACCGGCUGAGCUCGCUCGCUGUGCUGUAAGUUUCGUUCUUCUGUUUUGAGACGCUGCUGCUGUGUGAGAGGCUUUCACGUGAGAUCAUCGUGAUGAUGAGACUCCACCUGCGCGAACCGCGAACUCACUGAAGUUACUGUGAGUGACCUCUGUGCACUCAGGUGGCUGUAAUUCAGGGCAAGCUCGCUACGCUGUCCGGUGGCCGUGCGAUGAUUUUUUUUUCACGGGGCAUCAAGGCCAAAGUGCGGGGCAACGGCGGCCACCAAAGUGUUUGUUGAAGAGUGCCGGAGUGUCUGUUCCAGCCCCUCCCUUCUUUGUGCAUGAACGAGGAGGGGCGCGGGGAGCAGUGCAGAGAGCUCCGGGUCAGCGGCUUGCCUGGAGCAAGGAUCACAGCGCAAAUUUGAACUAUAUCGAUGUAUGCGAUAUGGUCUAAUUUCAUAUCACAUUUAAAAAAUAUAGCGAUAUAAGUUUUAUAUCGAUAUAUCGAUAUAAGUUUUAUAUCGAUAUAUCGCCCAGCCCUAGUACUGAGACACUGUAACUAAGGAACACCCAAGUGAGCACAUUACUUUAUGUUCAGGCCAAAAACCUUUUGAUAAUCAUUCAGCCUUCAGUCAUCAUCAUCAUCAUCAUCAUCAUUUCUCACAGCUAAAUUGGUCAGUUAGAGCUUUGCUUUUUUCAUACAUAUUCUAGCCAUAUACUUUAUAGUGCCUUUGACCAAACUGAGCUUAGAAUAGAUAUUUCAGUGAUUUAAAAUUUUAGUGAUGUACCUUCCGACCUGUUGUUGUUGCCAGUGUUUAACUUUAUAUAUAACUAAGAAAAGCAAAGACACAUUUACCGGACAGGGAAAUGUUUUAACUGACCUGUACUCAGGACUUCUGCACCUCUGCAGCUUCAUUUCAAAGCCUUCUGUUUUAAUCUGCCUCGUCUGAGUUCUAUUUUUUGUAAUUGUGAGCAAUACUAAAUUGUGGUACGCCUUUAUUUAAAGCAUAUUAUUUAAGCUUAGAGAACUUAAAUUUAAUGUAUAUUAUCAUUUGAUUGUGUUUAUUCAAAUGAACAUUUGGUGCGUUUUUGCAACUUCUCACAAUUAAACUUGAUCCUGCUUUGCACACUCUGUUUCUUUGUGUUACUGCUGAAAAGAAAGUUUAUAUAGACAUGUUGUUAUGUCAAAAAUGAUGUAAAUGCUAAAUGUAACUAAAAGUCUACAGCAAUGCCUCUGUUAGGUUGUAUUUCUUAGGCUGGACGGUGCCAACAUGCUCACAAUGACAAUGCUAACAUAAAAAAACAAACAAAACACAAUGCAUGGAGUGCUGCUUGGAUGUAGAAAAAUGCUAAUAUGUUGAUGUGGAGCAGUUAUAUAUAUGUUUACCUGAGUUUAAUUCAGAAGUAUUCUAAUAUUUGCAAAUACACACUAAAGUGCAAGUGCACCUGAAGCAGAUGGGAAUGGCUAAUUAUCUGUCAUUUUUUUCAACCAAAUUACUGGAUGGAUUUAAA